UUUCUAUCCGACAGUCCUUCUGCCCGCCGCUUCAAGGGAGCUGGUGAUUGAGAGGAUAGGAAAGAAACUAAAGGGGUGGAAGAAGGCAUCUCGCUCUAUGGGACUUAGGAUCAAUCUCACUUGUGCUUGCCUCUCUAAUAUUCCAUUUAGUAUCUUUUCUUUAAAAUCCCCACCAAAGUAGCCAGGCCCUUGGCGAAGCUUACAAGAAAUUUUGUGUGUUCUGGUUAUGGGAAGAUAUGAGGAAUCAUCUUGUUCGUUGGGAGGCGGUCAGGAGACCAAAAUUAGAGGGAGUUGUGGGGCUUGGUAAUGUGAUUUUUAGGAUUUCUAUGAACAUCUCCUUUAAGAGGUAAAUGGUUAUGGAGAUCCCCUUAGAGUCUAAUUCCUUAUGGCACAAGGUAGUGCGGAGCAAAUAUGGCAUUCAUAGGAGAACAACACUGUUUCUUGUGCGAGCCCCUGCAAAUUCGUUUCACAGAAGUUCUUUUCCCCCUCAUUCGUCUUUCUAUAAGAAUUGGGGAUAGGGUUCCUUUUUUGGGAGGAUACUUGGGUGGGUAUUGUGUUAUGGGAUGUGAUUUCUAUUUUUCAGGAGUCUCAAUGUGAGAGAGAUAGAUGAGCUCAUUUGCCAGUUGAGUGUUCUGAAUUCUUUCAAUCCUAACAGGAGGGGGGAUGCUAGGCUUUGGACUGGGGACUGUUCGGGGUCCUUUUCUUCAAUGACAAAAUCUCUUAGCCCUAGUCCUUUUUAUCUGGAUAGAGUCGUGUGGAAGGCUGAAGUCCGUCUUAAGAUUCAAGCUUUCAUUUGGACUUUGGUUCUCAAUGGGGUUAAUAUGAAUGCGGACUAGGAGGGCUCACAAAGCUCUCGGGCCAGAUGUUUGCAUGAUGUAUGUGAGAAGAAUGAGACUAAUCGUCAUUUAUUUUGCAUUCUGGUGUGGCGGCGAAAUUUUUGUGGAACAAUCUGUUUUCCUGCUUUGGUGAGGUUUGGGUGGCACCACAGGCUGUCCAUGAUUUCAUAGUGGUUCACUUUUUGGGUUUUGGGAGGAAUCCAAAAAUGUAAAGGUUUUGGGAUGGUGCCUUCUUUGCUAUUUUGCGGACACUUUGGCUUCAAAACGAACGUCAGAAUUUUAAGAGACCAGAAGACUCCCCUGAGCUUGAUCCGUGUGAAAGUUGCAAUUUUGUCUUCCUUCUGUCACUCUUUUGGGGUUUUUGAGGGUCGUUCUCUGUCUGAUAUCCAUAGGGACUGGAAGGCAGCAUUGAUGUAGAUCUAUUGUAUUUUCUCUUUUCCUGUCUUUGGUUUGUUUUGGAGGACGCCUUGUCCUCUUUCUCCAUAAUUGUGUUCUUCUUACUUUUAAUGAAUUUUUUGUUGUCUAAAGGAAAAGAUCUUCUUGCUUUGGACCCUCAAUGUUUCUUAAAUUGGUUUGUUGAUGCAGGAAUUAUUUUAAUUGGUAUGGAUUGUGUCAUCUUCAAUAAAUAUACUUUGAGGUGGGAGUUUGAGUGACAGCAUUACAGUUGGAGAGGGUCUUCUGUCUACUCUGCUGGCUGAAAUGGAUGGUUUGGAACAGGCUAAAGGAGUUCUUGUUUUUGCUGCUACAAAUCGCUGUGAUGCAGUUGAUGCUGCACUUAUGCGUCCUGGAUGCUUUGAUCUGACGAUACACUUGAUGGGCUUCCUACUACCUGAAGAAUAUUGCCAAAAAAGUUUCCUUAACAUGAAGCUAGCUUGGUUUUGUGCAAGAAUAUGGAUCAUACAUUUGUUUUACCAUGAGCCUUUGUAGAUAACUGUGUAUCUUCUUAAGAAUUUUACUGUGGACAAAGUUGCUCAUCUGAGGUUGCAGGUUCGCCUGAGCUUGAAGGGUGGUUGGUGGUACAGCAAUGGCUACAGCCUCAACUCUAGAUAGGCAGCAACAAGCACAAAUGUAAUGUAAGCUGCUCAAGCCAAUGUUUAAUUUAGAUAAACUUGAAUAUGGAUCAACUUCACUACAUGUUAAAAAAUAAUAAUUAUAUUAAGUCUUUUAAACGUUU